rnacentral:lncRNA from 1 species
UAGCUGCUCACAUGAGCAAUAGCAGGUUCUUUGCAUGGAUUUCACUGCCUGUCUGGUAACACUUGAUGCAGCUGGUCUCUAAGUGCUGGCUCCCUGAUGACACACUUGAAAUGGGCCUUGGUGCCAACAGGGCAUUCUUUCUGUAAGCCUCUACCUUCAGAAAUACAGUGGGGUUGGUCGGUGCUCUUUCUCCUUAUAACCAUGAGUGGUUACUGUCUGUGUUGACUGCUGGGCUGACCACUGAACUUCUUCUGAGAUUACCCCUGCAGCCUCCCCAAGGCUCUGAAAAAACCUCAGACUCCCUGCUAUGUAGCCUCAGCUCAGAGAGAAAAUGAAGAGAUUAGGUUCUAAUGUAGCCACUUGUAUGAUGAGAUGUCACCAAGAUGUCCACAGGCUCCCACAGAGGAGAGGACAUAGAAAAAGACUGAUUUGGAAGAUGAAUCUACGAGAAGUUGCCACUUACAUAAUAAAAAGCAAAAGAGAUGUUCAAGUUCAGAUUUGACUAAUAUGUUUUAAAUUAUGAUAUCAUAUUUUUCAAGAUAUCUCCUAUAUUUAAAAGUCUAUGGCAUAGUUGUCAGAUUACAGCAUCAAAAGUGAUUAAGAGACUAAAGAGAUAAAAAUGGACUUUAAAGAAAAUGAGUUAGAAGGACCAAAGACAGUAAGUUACUCUCC